UACGGGGGGGGCGAAGCAGUUAAUUCGGAAUUACUGGGCGUAAAGCGUGCGUAGACGGUUAUUUAAGUCGGGUGUGAAAGCCCCGGGCUCAACCUGGGAAUUGCAUUCGAGACUGAAUAGCUAGGGUACGGUAGAGGGAAGCGGAAUUUCCGGUGUAGCGGUGAAAUGCGUAGAUAUCGGAAGGAACAUCAGUGGCGAAAGCGGCUUCCUGGACCAGUACCGACGUUCAGGCACGAAAGCGUGGGGAGCAAACAGG
rnacentral:rRNA from 1 species